rnacentral:ncRNA from 1 species
ACAGAUAAAGCCAAACCUGCCGCAAGACAGGGACGGAAAGCUACGGGUCUAUUAGAUAGCCGAGCUGCCUUGA